rnacentral:rRNA from 1 species
AUACGAAGGGGGCUAGCGUUGUUCGGAAUCACUGGGCGUAAAGCGCGCGUAGGUGGAUCAAUUAGUUGAGGGUGAAAUCCCGGGGCUCAACCUCGGAACUGCCUUCAAUACUGGUGAUCUUGAGACCGAGAGAGGUGAGUGGAAUUCCUAGUGUAGAGGUGAAAUUCGUAGAUAUUAGGAAGAACACCAGUGGCGAAGGCGGCUCACUGGCUCGGUACUGACGCUGAGGUGCGAAAGCGUGGGGAGCAAACAGGAUUAGAAACCCUAGUAGUCC